GACAGAGGGUGCAAACGUUGUUCGGAAUUACUGGGCGUAAAGCGAGUGUAGGCGGUCUGGUAAGUCGGAUGUGAAAGCCCCGGGCUCAACCCGGGAAGUGCACUCGAUACUGCCAGGCUAGAGUAUCGGAGAGGUUGGUGGAAUUCUCGGUGUAGAGGUGAAAUUCGUAGAUAUCGGGAGGAACACCGGUGGCGAAGGCGGCGACCUGGGUAGAUAUGACGCUGAGGAGCGAAAGCGUGGGGAGCGAACAGG
rnacentral:rRNA from 1 species